rnacentral:rRNA from 1 species
UGAGCAACCUGCCUUUCAGAGGGGGAUAACAGUUGGAAACGACUGCUAAUACCGCAUAACGCUGCGAUGGGGCAUCCCGAUGCAGCCAAAGGAGCAAUCCGCUGAAAGAUGGGCUCGCGGCCGAUUAGCUAGUUGGUGGGGCAACGGCCCACCAAGGCGACGAUCGGUAGCCGGACUGAGAGGUUGAUCGACCACAUUGGGACUGAGACACGGCCCAGACUCCUACGGAAGGCAGCAG